CAAUAGCGUAUAUUUAAGUUGUUGCAGUUAAAAAGCUCGUAGUUGGAUUUCGGGUGGGACGCAGCGGUCUCGCAUUGUGUUUGUACUGCUGCAGCCCUCCUUCUUGCCGGGGGCGGCCUCUCGGACUUCACUGUCUGGGGGUCAGAAUCGGCGAUGUUACUUUGAGUAAAUUAGAGUGUUCAAAGCAAGCUUACGCUCUGAAUAUAAUAGCAUGGGAUAACACGACAGGACUCUGGCCUAUCGUGUUGGUCUAUAGGACCAGAGUAAUGAUUAAGAGGGACAGUCGGGGGCAUUCGUAUUCCGUUGUCAGAGGUGAAAUUCUUGGAUUUACGGAAGACGAACAUCUGCGAAAGCAUUUGCCAAGGAUGUUUUCAUUGA
rnacentral:rRNA from 1 species